rnacentral:rRNA from 1 species
GCCAACUGGCGAGUGCUACACAUGCAGUCGAGCGAAGAAUUUAUUAUGAAAUCUUCGGAUGGAUUGAUAAAUUUCUUAGCGGCGGAUGGGUGAGUAACGCGUGAGGAACCUGCCUUCUACAAGGGGAUAGCCUCGGGAAACCGGGAUUAAUACCCUAUGACACUUCUAAAUCACAUGAUUUUGAAGUCAAAGCGUUAGCGGUAGAAGAUGGCCUCGCGUCCCAUUAGCUAGUUGGUGAGGUAACGGCUCACCAAGGCUGCGAUGGGUAGCCGGCUUGAGAGAGUGAACGGCCACACUGGAACUGAGACACGGUCCAGACUCCUACGGGAGGCAGCAGUGGGGAAUAUUGCACAAUGGAGGAAACUCUGAUGCAGCGACGCCGCGUGAGCGAUGAAGGCCUUCGGGUCGUAAAGCUCUGUCCUAUGGGACGAUAAUGACGGUACCAUAGGAGGAAGCCCCGGCUAACUACGUGCCAGCAGCCGCGGUAAUACGUAGGGGGCGAGCGUUGUCCGGAUUCAUUGGGCGUAAAGCGCGCGUAGGCGGCUUGUUUGGUCGGGAGUUAAAACCGGGGGCUCAACCCCCGUCCGCUUCCGAUACCGGCAGGCUUGAGUCUGGUAGAGGAAGGUGGAAUUCCCAGUGUAGCGGUGGAAUGCGCAGAUAUUGGGAAGAACACCGGUGGCGAAGGCGACCUUCUGGGCCAUGACUGACGCUGAGGCGCGAAAGCUGGGGGAGCGAACAGGAUUAGAUACCCUGGUAGUCCCAGCUGUAAACGAUGGACACUAGGUGUGGGAGGGUGUUCCUUCCGUGCCGCAGCCAACGCAUUAAGUGUCCCGCCUGGGGAGUACGGCCGCAAGGCUAAAACUCAAAGGAAUUGACGGGGACCCGCACAAGCAGCGGAGCAUGUGGUUUAAUUCGAUGCAACGCGAAGAACCUUACCAAGGCUUGACAUCUAAAGAAUCUAAUAGA